GACGAACGCUGGCGGCGUGCUUAACACAUGCAAGUCGAACGGAAAGGCCCUGCUUUUGGGGGGUGCUCGAGUGGCGACCGGGUGAGUAACACGUGAGUAACCUGCCCUUGACUUUGGGAUAACUUCAGGAAACUGGGGCUACUACCGGAUAGGAGCUCCUGCUGCAUGGUGGGGGUUGGAAAGUUUCGGCGGUUGCGGAUGGACUCGCGGCUUAUCAGCUUGUUGGUGGGGUAGUGGCUCACCAAAGGUUUGACGGGUAGCCGGCCUGAGAGGGUGACCGGCCACAGUGGGAAUGAGAUACGGACCAGACUCCUACGGGAGGCAGCAGUGGGAAGUAUUGCAAAAUGGGCGGAAGCCUGAUGCAGCAGCGCUGCGUGCGGGAUGACGGCGUUCGGGUUGUAAACCGCUUGCGGCUGUGACGAAGCGUGUGUGACGGUAAUGGGUAAAGAAGCACCGGCUAACUACGUG
rnacentral:rRNA from 1 species